rnacentral:rRNA from 1 species
GACGAACGCUGGCGGCGUGCCUAAUACAUGCAAGUUGAGCGCUGAAGGUUGGUACUUGUACCAACUGGAUGAGCAGCGAACGGGUGAGUAACGCGUGGGGAAUCUGCCUUUGAGCGGGGGACAACAUUUGGAAACGAAUGCUAAUACCGCAUAAAAACUUUAAACACAAGUUUUAAGUUUGAAAGAUGCAAUUGCAUCACUCAAAGAUGAUCCCGCGUUGUAUUAGCUAGUUGGUGAGGUAAAGGCUCACCAAGGCGAUGAUACAUAGCCGACCUGAGAGGGUGAUCGGCCACAUUGGGACUGAGACACGGCCCAAACUCCUACGGGAGGCAGCAGUAGGGAAUCUUCGGCAAGGGACGAAAGUCUGACCGAGCAACGCCGCGUGAGUGAAGAAGGGUUUCGGAUCGUAAAACUCGGUUGGUAGAGAAGAACGUUGGUGAGAGUGGAAAGCUCAUCAAGUGACGGUAACUACCCAGAAAGGGACGGCUAACUACGUG